UACGGAGGGGGCUAGCGUUUUUCGGAAUUACUGGGCGUAAAGCGCACGUGGGCGGACUGGAAAGUCAGAGGUGAAAUCCCAGGGCUCAACCUUGGAACUGCCUUUGAAACUCCCGGUCUUGAGGUCGAGAGAGGUGAGUGGAAUUCCUUGUGUAGAGGUGAAAUUCGUAGAUAUUAGGAGGAACAACAGUGGCGAAGGCGGCUCUCUGGCUUGCAACUGACACUGAGGUGCGAAAGCGUGGGGAGCAAACAGG
rnacentral:rRNA from 1 species